UGGGGAAUCUUCCGCUAUGGGCGCAAGCCUGACGGAGCAACGCCGCGUGAGUGAAGAAGGUCUUCGGAUCGUAAAGCUCUGUUCAUGGGGACGAACGUGCCUACUGCGAAUAGUAUUAGGUAAUGACGUUACUCAUCGAGGAAGCCACGGCUAACUACGUGCCAUCAGCCGCGGUAAUACGUAGGUUGCGAGCGUUGUCCGGAAUCAUUGGGCGUAAAGGGAGCGCAGGCGGGCAUGUAAGUCUUUCUUAAAAGUGCGGGGCUCAACCCCGUGAUGGGAAAGAAACUAUGUGUCUUGAGUACAGGGGAGGGAAGCGGAAUUCCCAGUGUAGCGGUGAAAUGCGUAGAUAUUGGGAGGAACACAAGUGGCGAAGGCGGCUUUCUGGACUGCAACUGACGCUGAGGCUAGAAAGCCAGGGGGGCGAACGGG
rnacentral:rRNA from 1 species